rnacentral:rRNA from 1 species
GAUGAACGCUGGCGGUAUGCCUUACACAUGCAAGUCGUACGGAAAUCAAAUUUAUUUGAUUUUAGUGGCGGACGGGUGAGUAACACGUGAGAAUUUGCCUUUAGGAGGGGGACAACAUCUCGAAAGAUUUGCUAAAACCCCAUAUGCCCUCGGGUGAAACAGAGUAAUCUGCCUAAAGAGAAGCUCGCGCCUGAUUAGCUAGUUGGUAGGGUAAUGGCCUACCAAGGCGACGAUCAGUAGCUGGUCUGAGAGGAUGAUCAGCCACACUGGAACUGAGACACGGUCCAGACUCCUACGGGAGGCAGCGGUGAGGAAUGUUCUGCAAUGGGCGAAAGCCUGACAGAGCAAUACCGCGUGAGGGAUGAAGGCUUACUGAGUUGUAAACCUCUUUUUUCAAGGAAGAAGAUCUGACGUUGCUUGAAGAAUAAGCAUCGGCUAACUCCGUGCCAGCAGCCGCAGUAAAAC